rnacentral:tRNA from 1 species
GGGGGUUUAGCUCAGCGGGAGAGCAUCGGCUUUGCAAGCCGAGGGACAAGGGUUCAAUCCCCUUAACCUCCA